GACGAACGCUGGCGGCGUGCUUAACACAUGCAAGUCGAACGGAAAGGCCCUGCUUUUGUGGGGUGCUCGAGUGGCGAACGGGUGAGUAACACUUGAGUAACCUGCCCUUGACUUUGGGAUAACUUCAGGAAACUGGGGCUAAUACCGGAUAGGAGCUCCUGCUGCAUGGUGGGGGUUGGAAAGUUUCGGCGGUUGGGGAUGGACUCGCGGCUUAUCAGCUUGUUGGUGGGGUAGUGGCUUACCAAGGCUUUGACGGGUAGCCGGCCUGAGAGGGUGACCGGCCACAUUGGGACUGAGAUACGGCCCAGACUCCUACGGGAGGCAGUAGUGGGGAAUAUUGCACAAUGGGCGGAAGCCUGAUGCAGCAACGCCGCGUGCGGGAUGACGGCCUUCGGGUUGUAAACCGCUUUCGCCUGUGACGAAGCGUGAGUGACGGUAAUGGGUAAAGAAGCACCGGCUAACUACGUG
rnacentral:rRNA from 1 species